rnacentral:rRNA from 1 species
CAUAGGUUAAUGAGGCGAACCGGGGGAACUGAAACAUCUAAGUACCCCGAGGAAAAGAAAUCAACCGAGAUUCCCCCAGUAGCGGCGAGCGAACGGGGAGGAGCCCAGAGCCUGAAUCAGUGUGUGUGUUAGUGGAAGCGUCUGGAAAGGCGCGCGAUACAGGGUGACAGCCCCGUACACAAAAAUGCACAUAUUGUGAGCUCGAUGAGUAGGGCGGGACACGUGGUAUCCUGUCUGAAUAUGGGGGGACCAUCCUCCAAGGCUAAAUACUCCUGACUGACCGAUAGUGAACCAGUACCGUGAGGGAAAGGCGAAAAGAACCCCGGCGAGGGGAGUGAAAAAGAACCUGAAACCGUGUACGUACAAGCAGUGGGAGCCUCUUAAUGGGGUGACUGCGUACCUUUUGUAUAAUGGGUCAGCGACUUAUAUUCUGUAGCAAGGUUAACCGAAUAGGGGAGCCGAAGGGAAACCGAGUCUUAACUGGGCGUUAAGUUGCAGGGUAUAGACCCGAAACCCGGUGAUCUAGCCAUGGGCAGGUUGAAGGUUGGGUAACACUAACUGGAGGACCGAACCGACUAAUGUUGAAAAAUUAGCGGAUGACUUGUGGCUGGGGGUGAAAGGCCAAUCAAACCGGGAGAUAGCUGGUUCUCCCCGAAAGCUAUUUAGGUAGCGCCUCGUGAAUUCAUCUCCGGGGGUAGAGCACUGUUUCGGCAAGGGGGUCAUCCCGACUUACCA